rnacentral:tRNA from 1 species
UAAAAAGAAGCCAAUAAAUUUAUGGCACCUAACUGUUAAUUAGGAAAAAGCCUUUGGGCCUUUUUAG